rnacentral:lncRNA from 1 species
GCUAUCUCAAACAUUCAUUCAUCCAGAGAUGAUACUUGAGAGAUCUAACAAUGGCAUGGUACAGUGGAACCCUAAGCUCUAUCACCAUUCUGUCUCUAGUAUUCCUUAAAGCAAGGAAUGGGAUGACAAGCAAGUUGUGAAACCUCAACUAUCUACAGUUUAACACCAAGGAAAGAACACUGUUUAAAGAGAUGGGGAAGAUUAUCAUCAGUGUCUUUCAGAAGUCAUCAGAGGAAGUAAAGGAGAAAAAAGAGGAGAAAGCAGAAAGAGGCAGAUGCAAAUUCCUGAUUGUCUUCACUGGAACUUAAAUUUCACACACACUCACAAGCACACACACACAA